AUUUUAGCUUCAAUCGAAUUACUCUACUCAUUGUUGGCUUAUGGCCUUAUCAACAAUUAGCGCUUGCUCGAUUUCUGACAACACUCUGCCUUAGUAUUUUGAUAAGCUUCGUCGGAUUAAUAUUUUCAAGACUUUAUUUUGUAGACUACUCCUUUGACUUUACUAUUAAUUUGCUUUGUGUGGCAACAUUUUAUACUUUCUUUGUGAUUAAAUAUAUCUCCUUUUGGAUUAACAGAAAAGCUCGUAAAAUAUUGUUAAUACGAUAGAUAAGAUACUUAUUGGAACAAUUUCAAUACACCUACAAUGGGCUAAAGGAUGAGAAUGAAAUUGCUAUCU